GACGAACGCUGGCGGCGUGCUUAACACAUGCAAGUCGAACGGAAAGGCCCUGCUUUUGUGGGGUGCUCGAGUGGCGAACGGGUGAGUAACACGUGAGUAACCUGCCCUUGACUUUGGGAUAACUUCAGGAAACUGGGGCUAAUACCGGAUAGGAGCUCCUGCUGCAUGGUGGGGGUUGGAAAGUUUCGGCGGUUGGGGAUGGACUCGCGGCUUAUCAGCUUGUUGGUGGGGUAGUGGCUUACCAAGGCUUUGACGGGUAGCCGGCCUGAGAGGGUGACCGGCCACAUUGGGACUGAGAUACGGCCCAGACGCCUACGGGAGGCAGCAGUGGGGAAUAUUGCACAAUGGGCGGAAGCCUGAUGUAGCAACGCCGCGUGCGGGAUGACGGCCUUCGGGUUGUAAACCGCUUUCGCCUGUGACGAAGCGUGAGUGACGGUAAUGGGUAAAGAAGCACCGGCUAACUACGUG
rnacentral:rRNA from 1 species